AUUGAACGCUGGCGGCAUGCCUUACACAUGCAAGUCGAACGGUAACAGGUCUUCGGAUGCUGACGAGUGGCGAACGGGUGAGUAAUACAUCGGAACGUGCCCGAUCGUGGGGGAUAACGGAGCGAAAGCUUUGCUAAUACCGCAUACGAUCUACGGAUGAAAGCAGGGGACCGCAAGGCCUUGCGCGGACGGAGCGGCCGAUGGCAGAUUAGGUAGUCGGUGGGGUAAAAGCUUACCAAGCCGACGAUCUGUAGCUGGUCUGAGAGGACGACCAGCCACACUGGGAGUGGAGAACGGCCCAGACUCCUACGGGAGGCAGGAGGGGGGAAGUUUGGACAAUGGGCGCAAGGCUGAUCCAGGCAUGCCGCGUGCAGGAUGAAGGCCUUCGGGUUGUAAACUGCUUUUGCACGGAACGAAACGGCUCCUUCUAAUAAAGGGGGCUAAUGACGGUACCGUAAGAAUAAGCACCGGCUAACUACGUGCCAGCCGCCGCGGUAAUAC
rnacentral:rRNA from 1 species